UCUCCGUUGGUGAACCAGCGGAGGGAUCAUUACAGAGUUGCAAAACUCCCAAACCCUUGUGAACAUACCCGUUACAGUUGCUUCGGUGGGCGGCCCCAGGGCGGGGCCGCAGCCUCUUCUCACGAGGCGCCCGCCGGAGGUAUAUAACUCUUUGUAUUAUGGUCUCUGAGUAAAUUUAUAAUAAGUCAAAACUUUUAACAACGGAUCUCUUGGUUCUG
rnacentral:misc_RNA from 1 species